UACGAAGGGGGCUAGCGUUGCUCGGAAUCACUGGGCGUAAAGCGCACGUAGGCGGCUUUCUAAGUCAGGGGUGAAAUCCUGGAGCUCAACUCCAGAACUGCCUUUGAUACUGGGAAGCUUGAGUCCGGAAGAGGUGAGUGGAACUGCGAGUGUAGAGGUGAAAUUCGUAGAUAUUCGCAAGAACACCAGUGGCGAAGGCAGCUCACUGGUCCGGUACUGACGCUGAGGUGCGAAAGCGUGGGGAGCGAACAGG
rnacentral:rRNA from 1 species